rnacentral:snoRNA from 1 species
AACCCAUGGUGAGGGCACCUUCUUGGUAAGUCCUUGUAUCUUUCCCAUGCAUCGUAAAGUGUUUCUAAAUCCAUCUGCACAAAAGAAGAGAUAUCAUUACAUAAUUU